UACGUAGGUGGCAAGCGUUGUCCGGAAUUAUUGGGCGUAAAGCGCGCGCAGGCGGUCUCCUAAGUCCGAUGUGAAAGCCCAUGGCUCAACCGUGGAGGGUCAUUGGAAACUGGGGGACUUGAGUGCAGGAGAGAAGAGUGGAAUUCCACGUGUAGCGGUGAAAUGCGUAGAGAUGUGGAGGAACACCAGUGGCGAAGGCGACUCUUUGGCCUGUAACUGACGCUCAUGCACGAAAGCGUGGGGAGCAAACAGG
rnacentral:rRNA from 1 species